GGAGAGAUGGCCGAGCGGCUGAAGGCAACGGUUUGCUAAACCGUCCUACGGGGUCAACUCGUAGCGAGGGUUCGAAUCCCUCUCUCUCCGCCA
rnacentral:tRNA from 1 species